ACCUUCAUCCAAUACAGCGAGCAAUAUGAAUUUAAUGCACCAUGAAAGAUUGAAUUGAUGACUGAAAUGAAUUCUGAGGAUCCUGUCAAUUUCUGUGUCUGAAUCUAUUUGUACUUAAGUUCGCAGACAUACGCACCUAAUAAUAGUUUCUCUAUUCUAGCGUUGGUGAAUAGAGCUACCCGGUAUCUAUUGCUAUUGCUGGUGGAGGUGGUUGGACCCCGUGGAAUUAGUCGAGUUGCGCUCAAGCUGGCCCGGACACCACAGUUAUCAACAAAAAAACCGUUUCUCUAUCUUUUUGCUCUCAUCUCCAAAUUAAUAUGUAUUAUUUUGACUCUUUUUUUUUUUCACAACUGGUGUGCAGCUACUGCAGUGGAUCUGAAGCACAGUGUGCUGGUUGAUAGAUACCUUCAUCAUCGAACAUACUAUGCUGGAAAUGUAAUGGAAGUCUCAAAAACACAUAUCAAAUUAAAGAAGCUCUCAAACCUAUAGAAAGUGAAUGCCAAAGAUAAUUUGCAAGCUUUCCCAAUUUGUGGUCUUAUCAGCUGCAACUGCUUAAAUCUAGAUUUCACUCAAUUGUAGCAUAUAUCAUACAUAAGUUGGACAUAUGAUUACAAUCUUGUACAUUAAUCUUGCUGUUUUUAUGCCUA